AACGAACGCUGGCGGCAGGCUUAACACAUGCAAGUCGAGCGCCCCGCAAGGGGAGCGGCAGACGGGUGAGUAACGCGUGGGAAUCUACCCAUCCCUACGGAACAACUCCGGGAAACUGGAGCUAAUACCGUAUACGUCCUUCGGGAGAAAGAUUUAUCGGGGAUGGAUGAGCCCGCGUUGGAUUAGCUAGUUGGUGGGGUAAUGGCCUACCAAGGCGACGAUCCAUAGCUGGUCUGAGAGGAUGAUCAGCCACACUGGGACUGAGACACGGCCCAGACUCCUACGGGAGGCAGCAGUGGGGAAUAUUGGACAAUGGGCGCAAGCCUGAUCCAGCCAUGCCGCGUGAGUGAUGAAGGCCCUAGGGUUGUAAAGCUCUUUCGCAGGUGAAGAUAAUGACGGUAACCUGAGAAGAAGCCCCGGCUAACUUCGUGCCAGCAGCCGCCGUAACAC
rnacentral:rRNA from 1 species